UAAGUUUCCGUGAAACUCUUCGCCUCAGG
rnacentral:piRNA from 1 species